UUGCCCUAGUAACGGCGAGUGAAGCGGCAACAGCUCAAAUUUGAAAUCUGGCUUCGGCCCGAGUUGUAAUUUGCAGAGGAAGCUUUAGGCGCGGCACCUUCUGAGUCCCCUGGAACGGGGCGCCACAGAGGGUGAGAGCCCCGUAUAGUUGGAUGCCUAGCCUGUGUAAAGCUCCUUCGACGAGUCGAGUUGUUUGGGAAU
rnacentral:rRNA from 1 species